UUCCAACCGUGACGGAUUCGGCCUGGAUUCCUCUACAUUAUUUUGAGGCGGCUUGUUUAUUUCUAUAGUGCAAGGUGGUGUUUAUCGUGAAUAAAUGGGGACAGGAGUCAUCUUAUUGAUAGUACAUUGCGUGUGUGCCCAUUCUUCAGCUUGUUCAAGAGUCUAAAUUUGCCGUCCCCUCAAAUGAAUUCAACACACAGCCAUGACGACCUAAACCAAUGGUCUUUAACAAUUUCAAGGACCCCCAACUGGAAAGCUGAAGCAGGGACCCCAUACGUACGUAAAUUGUAUGCAACUGUGUUUUAUAGUUAACUGGUCCUAUAAUAGAAUGCUUUUUAUUGUCACUAUACACAAUGAGAUUGAGAUGAGAUGCCAUGUACUGUAAAAUAUGUACCUGCAAACAAUACUAAGAUAUUCAAAUAAUACACAGGUUGAAAUUUCAUGUUUUUGUUUUUUUUUCUUUUUUUUCAAACAAUAUACAGUAAGAAUGGGCGAUCAUUCCUGUUAAUGUUUAUUUAAAGACAUUUGAAAUUGUGGCUGGGCGGGUGGGAGUGUUGUUGCUGGGCGAAGCCGUCAGACGCACGUCAUUAGUGGAUGCACGCUUGCGCUGGCCCCGUCGAACGAAGGAGGUCCAUUG